rnacentral:misc_RNA from 1 species
AAGUCGUAACAAGGUUUCCCUAGGUGAACCUGCGGAAGGAUCAUUAAAAAUUGUCGAGCCGACCUCGUGUCGUGCCUCAGCAAACCAAUGUGAACACACCCGUUGCUUCGGCGGCAUGCCCAGCGCUGUCAGCCCGUCCGAAGCCCCUUCAAAACUCUUCUGUAAACUGCAGUCAGACACGAUAAAGCAAAUCGUUAAAA